UUCAAUCUUAUGUAAUCUUUCACCAAGAUUCUCAAGGUUGGACUGAUGUCUUGUAAGUGCGGCGUUAGUGUCAGCUGAGAUCUCCUCUGUAUGGUAAGGUGUGUUGGACAUGUCCAAUGUCAUCUUUGGUACCAGCCGGCCUUGGUUUUUAUCACUGUCGAUCGAUGUUUGAUUGUGAAUGUCAAUCAAUUUGUUGUUGUAUAUGUCGAUCGAUAGUGCUGCUUCUGGUCGACGGACAAUGUAACUCUGGAUCUCCA
rnacentral:lncRNA from 1 species